rnacentral:misc_RNA from 1 species
UACGGAGGGGGCAAGCGUUAUUCGGAUUUAUUGGGCGUAAAGAGCGCGUAGGCGGACGGGUAAGUCUGAUGUGAAAGCGCUACCGCUUAACGGAGCGUUGCCAUUGGAAACUGCUCGUCUUGAGUGUGGCAGAGGUUGGUGGAAUUCCAGGUGUAGCGGUGGAAUGCGUAGAUAUCUGGAAGAACACCGGUGGCGAAGGCGACCAACUGGGCCAUUACUGACGCUGAGGUGCGAAAGCCAGGGGAGCGAACGGG